AUGAAGUUCAACAUGGAAAAUUGUCGUGUAUUGCAUUACUUGAGAAAUUUCCAUGUGUUCUGCAUUUUAGGUAGCGGAGAAUCAGUAAGUUCUACUACUGGUGCAUGCCAUGUUCAAGGAUUUUGCCAUGCUCGAGCAUCCACUGGCUCCAACCUCCACCCGCUGCCGCGUUCCUGGGAUCCGCAACCUCUGACCUCGCGUGGACCUUGGCUGGUUUCUCUAUCCCGAGUGCCGCCGCCGGCCUCCCUGCAGCAUGGCUUCGGUUCCCUCUCCGGUUGCGUCUGCGCCAACCAUCUCUAUGAGACUACCCUAUUCCUUCGCUGGACUACUCCUUCCACCAGCAGCCCCCCUAGCAAACCUCAUGUCUCAUAUUUGUUCUUAUUUUCUUGCAGGAUGCAUCAAAAAGCCAGAUUCACAAAUUCAUCUUCUAUAUGCUUUUCAGUUCAUCGACUUCCCAUUGUUAAGUCCAAUUUAUUUUGUGUUUCAAUCUUCUUCCUAUAG
rnacentral:rRNA from 1 species